rnacentral:lncRNA from 1 species
UCCAUCCUAUUUUGCUAUUAUUAUCUCUUGCCACUUCAUUCAAAUUCUCUUAUUUUUCCUGACAGUUUACAUAAACGACUACAAGUAGAGAGGAAAACAAGUACCUUUUAUAACAAGGCAGCAUCUUCUCCCGGAGGGUGAUCCGGUAUUUGUAACAGUAAAGGUAAUAGGCGUAUGGUGACCAGAUCGGGUAGAGGUAGUUCCGUGUUUUUCCCCUCUUGAUAUAAGAAAGGGAGAAGAUAGAAGGGCGCAACCUGUUACAAGGCAGUUUCUCAGUUCAGUGCCUCCCUGCGGCAAAGUGAGGUUCAGAGAUGAGUGGCAGGGGUUCAGGCAGUCUGGUGUCAUUGUGACCCGGUGGGCACUAUGACAUGGGCAAAGGGUCAGCCCUAUGUCACUUCAAGACUCCACUCUGCUGCUCCUCCACCCCACCCAACCCCCUUAACUAAGCCUCCUACUCACCUAGUAUGUACUUCAUGGCUGUACCAGUGAUU